AUUAGGGCGAUCUGGCUGCUACAUCUGUCGCCCCAAUGAUUGCCAGGGUUGAUCGGCUGGCUGAUCUGGCUGGCUAGGCAGGUGUCCCCUUCCUCCCUCACCACUCCAUGUGUGUCCCUCCAGAAGCUGAGCCUUUGGUCAAAUAGGAUGACCUUCCCUGAAUAGAGGAGGACUGGUCUUUGGUCAAGGGUAUACGAGUAGCUGUGUUCCCCUGCUAGAACCUCCAAACAAGCCCUCUCUCUCACUUUUAAGAAAAGAAGGCUUCCAGAAGAUGUUCCUUUUUUGCUGGAUGUUAGAAGACUAAUGAUGGCACAUGUACAAGGAAGGGACAAUGGUAUCUUCUCUUUUAU
rfam:Mesocricetus auratus contig042257, whole genome shotgun sequence.